GUGGGAAUGAGAGUGGAGGACGUGAGGGAGGAGUAACAAAAGUGAAAUCUAUUUGAAAUUGUUUUCACUUUUGUUACUUCUCCCUCUCAUCCUCCCUUCUCAUCCUCUUCU
rnacentral:miRNA from 1 species